CCGCUCUGCUCGAGACCGCUCCCCGCUCCUCCUGACCCGCAUUCACCCGUACUGUACAGGCAUGGGGGAGGACCGAGCUUAGAAAGCGAGUAAACGCUGUAGAGUUUCCCCUCUGCACACCGUGGCCAUGACUUUGGCAGUCCCGGGCGGCGGCAGCGGCUCUCCCGUCUCCACGCACCUGAUAGCGGACUGAAAGGGGGAAGCUAACACCGGGGAGAGGCUUUAGCAGACGCCGACCGAGACGAUUUUCCAGACGGGUGUCAGAACUGUUCAUCUAUUUCAAGGAAGACGCUCUGCCACCUAAUGUUUUUGCCAACAAAGAAGACUGGGCUUCAUCUUCAAAGCACCAGGAGGGGAACCCAGUGCUGGUUUUCUACUGUUGCAGCCUAUCCUCUUCAAGUUGUGCACUCUGCGAUGCUUUUCCGCCCCGCCGCUCAUCAGCUCGAGCUGCUCCGGCCGUUCUCCUCUGACCCCUCUCAUCAACAAGGCGCUUCGAUCCACAGAAAUGCAGCU
ensembl:lncRNA